rnacentral:rRNA from 1 species
AUUGAACGCUGGCGGCAGGCUUAACACAUGCGAGUCGAGCGGGGUGAUGGUGCUUGCACUAUCACUUAGCGGCGGACGGGUGAGUAAUGCUUAGGAAUCUGCCUAUUAGUGGGGGACGACAUCUCGAAAGGGAUGCUAAUACCGCAUACGUCCUACGGGAGAAAGCAGGGGAUCACUUGUGACCUUGCGCUAAUAGAUGAGCCUAAGUCGGAUUAGCUAGUUGGUGGGGUAAAGGCCUACCAAGGCGACGAUCUGUAGCGGGUCUGAGAGGAUGAUCCGCCACACUGGGACUGAGACACGGCCCAGACUCCUACGGGAGGCAGCAGUGGGGAAUAUUGGACAAUGGGGGGAACCCUGAUCCAGCCAUGCCGCGUGUGUGAAGAAGGCCUUAUGGUUGUAAAGCACUUUAAGCGAGGAGGAGGCUCUUUUGGUUAAUACCCAAGAUGAGUGGACGUUACUCGCAGAAUAAGCACCGGCUAACUCUGUGCCAGCAGCCGCCGUAA